rnacentral:rRNA from 1 species
UACAGAGGGUGCGAGCGUUGUUCGGAAUUACUGGGCGUAAAGCGCGCGCAGGCGGCCUUUUAAGUCUACCCGUGAAAGGCCGGGGCUCAACUCCGGCUCGGCCGUGCGGACUCUCGCGCUUUGUGAGUGCUGUAGAGGCGGGCGGAAUUCCGGGUGUAGCGGUGGAAUGCGUAGAGAUCCGGAAGAACACCGGUGGCGAAGGCGGCCCGCUGGGCAGUGACUGACGCUGAGGCGCGACAGCGUGGGGAGCAAACAGG